UACGAAGGGGGCUAGCGUUGCUCGGAAUCACUGGGCGUAAAGCGCACGUAGGCGGAUCGCUAAGUCGGGGGUGAAAUCCUGGAGCUCAACUCCAGAACUGCCCUCGAUACUGGCGAUCUUGGAGUCCGGGAGAGGUGAGUGGAACUCCGAGUGUAGAGGUGAAAUUCGUAGAUAUUGGGAAGAACACCGGUGGCGAAGGCGGCGCUCUGGACCGAGACUGACGCUGAGGCGCGAAAGCGUGGGGAGCAAACAG
rnacentral:rRNA from 1 species